rnacentral:siRNA from 1 species
AUAAAUUCUCAAGUGCAUUCU